rnacentral:rRNA from 1 species
GGGAUUGCCCUAGUAACGGCGAGUGAAGCGGCAACAGCUCAAAUUUGAAAUCUGGCUCUCGGGCCCGAGUUGUAAUUUGUAGAGGAUACUUUUGAUGCGGUGCCUUCCGAGUUCCCUGGAACGGGACGCCAUAGAGGGUGAGAGCCCCGUCUGGUUGGAUGCCAAAUCUCUGUAAAGUUCCUUCAACGAGUCGAGUAGUUUGGGAAUGCUGCUCUAAAUGGGAGGUAUAUGUCUUCUAAAGCUAAAUACCGGCCAGAGACCGAUAGCGCACAAGUAGAGUGAUCGAAAGAUGAAAAGCACUUUGAAAAGAGAGUUAAAAAGUACGUGAAAUUGUUGAAAGGGAAGCGUUUAUGACCAGACUUGGGCUUGGUUAAUCAUCUGGGGUUCUCCCCAGUGCACUUUUCCAGUCCAGGCCAGCAUCAGUUUUCCCCGGGGGAUAAAGGCGGCGGGAAUGUGGCUCUCUUCGGGGAGUGUUAUAGCCCACCGUGUAAUACCCUGGGGGGGACUGAGGUUCGCGCAUCUGCAAGGAUGCUGGCGUAAUGGUCAUCAACGACCCGUCUUGAAACACGGACCCCUGUGUGAAA